CGCGUAGGCGGGAUGGCAAGUCAGUCGUGAAAUCUCUCGGCUCAACCGAGAAACGUCGGCUGAUACUGCCGUUCUUGAGGGAUGCAGAGGAGACUGGAAUUCCCGGUGUAGCGGUGAAAUGUGUAGAGAUCGGGAGGAACACCGGUGGCGAAGGCGGGUCUCUGGGCAUCUCCUGACGCUGAGGCGCGAAAGCGUGGGGAGCGAACG
rnacentral:rRNA from 1 species